rnacentral:rRNA from 1 species
AAAUUGAAGAGUUUGAUCAUGGCUCAGAUUGAACGCUGGCGGCAGGCCUAACACAUGCAAGUCGAGCGGAAACGAGUUGUCUGAACCUUCGGGGAACGAUAACGGCGUCGAGCGGCGGACGGGUGAGUAAUGCCUGGGAAAUUGCCCUGAUGUGGGGGAUAACCAUUGGAAACGAUGGCUAAUACCGCAUAAUAGCUUCGGCUCAAAGAGGGGGACCUUCGGGCCUCUCGCGUCAGGAUAUGCCCAGGUGGGAUUAGCUAGUUGGUGAGGUAAUGGCUCACCAAGGCGACGAUCCCUAGCUGGUCUGAGAGGAUGAUCAGCCACACUGGAACUGAGACACGGUCCAGACUCCUACGGGAGGCAGCAGUGGGGAAUAUUGCACAAUGGGCGCAAGCCUGAUGCAGCCAUGCCGCGUGUAUGAAGAAGGCCUUCGGGUUGUAAAGUACUUUCAGCAGUGAGGAAGG